GACGAACGCUGGCGGCGUGCUUAACACACGCAAGUCGAACGGGAUCCAAAGGCUUUUUGUUUUUGGUGAGAGUGGCGAACGGGUGAGUAACACGUGAGUAACCUGCCCCCUUCUUUUGGAUAACCGCAUGAAAGUGUGGCUAAUACAGGAUAUUCCAGGCUGGUCGCAUGAUUGGUUUGGGAAAUGGUUUGGUCUGGUGGGGGAUGGGCUCGCGGCCUAUCAGCUUGUUGGUGGGGUGAUGGCCUACCAAGGCGGUGACGGGUAGCCGGCCUGAGAGGGUGGGCGGUGACAUUGGGACUGGGAUACGGCCCAGAGUGCGACGGGAGGCAGCAGUGGGGGAUUAUGCACAAUGGGCGCAAGCCUGAUGCAGCGGCGCGGCGUGAGGGAUGAAGGCCUGCGGGUUGUAAACCUCUUUCGAUGGGUUGAAAGGCCAUGCUUUGGGUGUGGUUGAUUUGAACUGGUAAAGAAGUACCGGCUAACUACGUG
rnacentral:rRNA from 1 species